rnacentral:rRNA from 1 species
GACGAACGCUGGCGGCGUGCCUAACACAUGCAAGUGGAGCGACGAACCAGGGCUUGCCCUGGGGCUAAGCCGCGAACGGGUGAGUAACACGUGGGUAACCUGCCCCGAUUACUGGGACAACUCGAGGAAACUCGAGCUAAUACCGGAUGUGCCCACCUCACAUCAGUGAGGUGUGUAAAGGAAGCUUCGGCCUCCGAAUCGGGAUGGGCCCGCGGCCCAUUAGCUAGUUGGUGAGGUAAAGGCUCACCAAGGCUUCGAUGGGUAGCUGGUCUGAGAGGACGAUCAGCCACACUGGGACUGAGACACGGCCCAGACUCCUACGGGAGGCAGCAGUGGGGAAUCUUGCGCAAUGCGCGAAAGCGUGACGCAGCAACGCCGCGUGGGGGAAGAAGGCUUUAGGGUUGUAAACCCCUUUCAGUUGGGACGAAGCCUCGUCCGUUAAUAGCGGUGCGAGGUGACGGUACCUUCACAAGAAGCUCCGGCUAACUACGUGCCAGCCGCCGCAGUAAUAC